CCCUUAGAUGUUCUGGGCCGCACACGCGCUACACUGAAGAAGGCAGCGUGUACUCCUGGAUCGAAAGAUUUGGGUAACCCGCGAAUCUCCUUCGUGCUAGGGAUUGAGGUUUGCAAUUAUCCUUCAUGAACGAGGAAUUCCCAGUAAGUGCAAGUCAUAAGCUUGCGCUGACUACGUCCCUGCCCUUUGUACACACCGCCCGUCGCUACUACCGAUUGAAUGAUUUAGUGAGGACUUCGGACUGGGACCGAUGCGGCUUUCGGGCUGCGUCGGUAUUCUGGAAAGAUGUCCAAACUGUAUCAUUUAGAGGAAGUAAAAGUCGUAACA
rnacentral:rRNA from 1 species